UACGGAGGGGGCUAGCGUUGUUCGGAAUUACUGGGCGUAAAGCGCACGUAGGCGGCUUUGCAAGUCAGAGGUGAAAGCCCGGGGCUCAACCCCGGAAUUGCCUUUGAGACUGCAUCGCUAGAAUUGUGGAGAGGUAAGUGGAAUUCCGAGUGUAGAGGUGGAAUUCGUAGAUAUUCGGAAGAACACCAGUGGCGAAGGCGGCUCACUGGACCGGUAUUGACGCUGAGGUGCGAAAGCGUGGGGAGCAAACAGG
rnacentral:rRNA from 1 species